AGGACGAACGCUGGCGGCGUGCUUAACACAUGCAAGUCGAGCGGAAAGGCCCUUCGGGGUACUCGAGCGGCGAACGGGUGAGUAACACGUGAGUAAUCUGCCCCUAGCUCUGGGAUAGCUCCGGGAAACCGGGAUUAAUACCGGAUAUGACCACUUUAGACAUCUGUUGUGGUGGAAAGAAUUUCGGCUAGGGAUGAGCUCGCGGCCUAGUCAGCUUGUUGGUGGGGUAACGGCCUACCAAGGCGACGACGGGUA
rnacentral:rRNA from 1 species